rnacentral:lncRNA from 10 species
GCUGAGUCCAGAAGAGGCAGUGCUUGUUCUUGCUUGUCCCCCUUGCAUUCCAGUGGCUCCACCAUGAGAAGAGCAGGACCCUUCAGUGUGGGCCCCGUCUGAGUCCAACCCACAUGCACAAGCCACCCAGCUGAACUUGGGCUGGAUCACUGAACCUUAGUCAUCCUGCAGACCUGCAACUCAGGCCCAAAGAGAGGAUGUGCUUAACCCCAGGCCACAGAGCGAGUUAACUAGUGAUGGACCCACAUUUAGCUCAUCCUUAUUUGCUCCCUGGCGCAUUCAUGUGGAUGAGUCUCAGGAUUUCUAAACCCAGCAGAGCCCAGACGGACACAUCAUCUUCUCCUCUUGGAGUUCAUGUCUUGAGUCAGGUUAAGUCCACACAGCCAGAUGCUCCCAACAGACCUGCAGCUGCCUGCAGAUGGCCAUCGUACCCCGGCCUCCCCAUUUGCCAGCUGGUCUCUCAGUUGCCUCAGCCCUUCCAUCUCCACUGAACAGGGUUCACAGCCCUUGCCCGCCAGGCACCCUUAUCUGAAGAGCUCCAAGCUGGGGUGGGUUUGGUCUUCUCCUGACCUCCGUCCGCUUCCUGGGGCCUGGAACAUCCUGAAGCUAGAACAAAACAGCUAAAGGCAGAAAAGGCGGCAAAUACUCGUUCAGUCAGAAGACAGGAAGACUAGCAGGAGGCUGACUCUGCGAGUAAGACCCACUGGCUUUAGAUUGGUGUUUCUUCCUGAGGCUGGGUCACACCAGGAAACCUUUGAUCCCUCCCUUCCCCUCCUCCCCAGAACCUGGAGCUUCUGUCUCCCACAGCCAGCAGUGGAACCAGUGGUGGCUGAGUAACUGAGGAACUGCAGGAGAGCCUCCAAGAAGAAGUGGAGAGAGGAGAAAAAGAGAGAGGACAGUUGAACAUUCUUCAGGAUCCAUAUGAGUGUGAGCACAUAUCCUCAUGUGCUGGCAUUUGACUGACUGACAGGUUAUGGAGGCCCAAUCUCUCUUUGGCGAUAAAGUGACAGAGGUCAGACCCGGAUAUAAUCUGCCGGGUUGAUUCCUAUAGGAGCAAGAGGAGACAAUCCCCUCCCUCCCUUUUUAGAACCCCAUACUUCUGUGAAUGCAACCUAAGGUCACACUGGCUUUUUAGUAGCUGCGUAAUCCUGUUGACUCAUUUUGCACUUAAUGUUGAAUAAAAAACUGUAAGAUAUUUUCUGUUUCUUGUGCCACUGAGCCAAGCUUUAUGCCCAUUCCAGCUCCCCUUCCCUUA